GACAGAGGGGGCAAGCGUUGCUCGGAAUUACUGGGCGUAAAGGGCGCGUAGGCGGCUUUUCAAGUGACGGGUGAAAUCCCUCGGCUUAACCGAGGAACUGCCUGUCAGACUGGAAGGCUUGAGACCGGGAGAGGUGAGUGGAAUUCCCAGUGUAGCGGUGAAAUGCGUAGAUAUUGGGAGGAACACCAGUGGCGAAGGCGGCUCACUGGACCGGAACUGACGCUGAGGCGCGAAAGCGUGGGGAGCAAACAGG
rnacentral:rRNA from 1 species